ensembl:lncRNA
CAAAAAUCACAAAACAGUAAAAGGAAUGGAAAAUGACUUUAUUUCUUCUUCUUAAAAAAAAAAAAAGUAAAAUAAAAGCCCAUAAUUGAAUUAUAUUCUGAAACAUUUGUUUAGUAUUAUUUCCAUGCUUAAUAAAAUCAUUAUAUUUCUGCAUAAAUAAAUAAACAUUUACAAAGAGGGGGAAGAACGAGAAGAAUCAGAGACGAAGGUGUCAUUCUCUGAAUCAUUGACGACCAAUCAAUCGAUCAACAACUGAUCAAAUGGACAAUUCAUUGAUGGCCUGUAGACAUGCAGCCAAUCGUCUUCCUUCCUUCUCCAUACAUGAAAUCCCCCAUUGGGUAUUAUAUCAUAUUAUAUUUAUAUACCGCAUAAUGUAAUUAUCUCUCAGGUUCAGAAAAAUUUAACAAAAUAACAUAGCAGAUGUGUGUGUGUGUGUGUGUUUGUGGAUGCAGCCCAAAUGACAAUCUCUUCCCUACUGUACGUAGUUCACUAAGUAAUGCACUCUGUAGGGGACAGGCUGUCAUUUAGGAUGUAUAUUAUGUGUGUGUUUGUAUGUACAUAGUAAAUCACCAGGCAGCAGUCAGAAGAGUAGUUAUCCCAAAAAAAAUUACAUUUAGAAAAAAAUUCAUGUGCACAGGAAAAUCUUUGAACGAACACACCGACUGGAAAUGAGGGAAGUUAUGUUGUUUGUUUUGUUUUUAACAAAUAAAACAAAUACAUUUCAGGGAUUUAUCCAAAUGUAUCCAAUCAUAACCCCAAAAGCCUCCCCCAUUCCUUUGUGCGUUUCAGAUUGACUGACACGUAUCGGUCUCGUAUGAAAAGGAUCACACACAGAGGCUGCUCACUUACAGAUAGUAUCAAAAAGACCCAUUUCAAUAGGAGUCAAAGUAACAUGGCAUCUUUGGAAAAGUGGAUCAGGCUACACCCUUCAGACCAAUGCAUUUUGAGAAGACAGGAAUCAAGGAAAGACAAUUGAGAUUGGAUAGGUCUGUUUAGGUUAGGGGUACCGGUUCUUGUAGCAGGUUAGGUUAGGGGUACCGGUUCUUGUAGCAGGUUAGGUUAGGGGUACCAGUUCUUGUAGCAGGUUAGGUUAAGAGUGCCUUUUCAACACGGACACUUGAGCGAGUUGACAGGGUAGAUCAGAUCAUGCUUUUAACUAGCCUGGAAUCCAAGCUAAUAUGCUUACAGUCUUGUUUCACCAGUCUAGCUUUUAAGGUGUAGCGAGGACAACAAGACAUCAUGACCAUGUAUUCAUUGAGGAGAGAAGACUCUCCACGCUGUCACUCUCUCUGCCCUUCCACCACUUUGAAACCAGCUCAAAUUUACACAAAACACCUCCAUUUACAGGCAGGACUUAUUUUAUUAAUUGUUUUUCUGCAUGGAAUCCCAAAAAUAAUAAGUAAAGACAAACUGGAGAACACAAGAUGUGAUCAAUUCAGGAGAAAGGAGAGAAAAAAAUGUUUUGGGAGAUUUCACUUUUUUUUUUAUUUUUAUGGCAAACAAAAAGUUGUAUUCCAAAUGGCACCAGUUUCCCUAUAUAGUGCACUACUUUUGACCAGAGCCCUGUUCCCUAUAUAGUGCACUACUUUAGACCAGAGCCCUAUGGCUUAGGGUUGGUCCUAGAACUGCUACCCAGAGCUCCAUGCCCACCAGAUUCAGGGACUGUAUGAAUCCGGGGAGUCCAGAGAAGGGCAUCUGUUUUGGGCCACAAAGAUUGAGGAUAGCCCUUAACUUCCAAACCACCACUCAACAACCCCCCUUACAUAGGUGCUGCUAUAGCAAGGCUAUCCUUUAGACAAAGACACAUUUCAGAAAGACUACAGGCCUCAUCUUUCAUAAGGAUUAUAUAUCACCCUUAGCCAGCCGAUUGGCUAUCGAUGCAUAUAUAUUCCAAUCCAAGACAGUUUUAAAGUUUCCAGGAUUGAUGGACACUGUGGAGUGGGGACAUGCCCACUCACAGCAGAAGCAGUGAAGGCCAAUGACAGAGCCCAGAGAAACAGGAAGUUAGAUGGGGAUUCUAAAGCCGUAUCUAAAGGAGAACGAAGAAGAGACAGCACCUUGGGGGUAAUUCUAGAGCUGGGUCUACCUGACAGUAUACAAGGAGGGGGAUAUUUUAUAACUAUAAUCUACCCGGCACUGGAUGAGACCAGAGGAAGAAUCUAGAGCUGUACGUACUAGACAGGCAUUGGAGAGACCAGAGGAAGAAUCUAGAGCUGUACAUACUAGACAGGCAUUGGAGAGACCAGAGGAAGAGAGUAACAGAGUUUCAUAAAAGGUGUUAUGUUAAUAUACAUCAUUAUCAUUUAGGUUUAUGACAUCUAAGCAGGUGUCUGGAGAGGUUGGACUUGCGAGCAAAGCUGAGAAAGCAGUACAUACUAGACAGGCAUUGGAGACCAGAGGAAGAAUCUAGAGCUGUAUGUACAUCAGGUAGCAUAGUCAUCAUAGACUUCAGCGCCAAGAUAUUAGCCUGGUCCCAGGUCUGUUUGUGCUUUUGCCUACUCUACUGUCAGCAUUUAGCAUGACAAUUACAUAAGAAGUUGGCAAGAGAGCACAGACCUGCUACCAAGAUCCAGGAAACAGACCUGCUACCAAGAUCCAGGAAACAGACCUGCUACCAAGAUCCAGGAAACAGACCUGCUACCAAGAUCCAGGAAACAGACCUGCUACCAAGAUCCAGGAAACAGACCUGCUACCAAGAUCCAGGAAACAGACCUGCUACCAAGAUCCAGGAAACAGAGCGAAAACAGCCCUGGGUGAGCAACACAUGAGCAGGAAAACACACCAAUGCGUUUUAUACAAGGGAAUUACGACAGUGGAAAUUGUGGCCAUUUGUCCAAAAGAUGUUAACCCCACACCUAUUUCACCUGAGCCCCAAUAGUUACACUGACAUCCUUUCAUAAAGCAAUCUGGGAACUAGAGUGUUAUCAAACCAGUAGUGGCUUGUCCAUUUUACACUCCAUGUGUCCCAAAAAGUAUUUAACAAUAAAGUAACCCUUGGCAAUAAGGUUCAGAAUGUGAACCAGUAACAACCUGGACACAGACUGUUCAGAACACCGUGAAACACCGUGAAACACCGUGAAACACCAUUAUGGGAGUUGUCUUACACUCAACAAGACAUCAUCCCUUGACACCAGAAGUUACUUGGACAUCCUUUCAUAUGACAUCUUGAAAUUUGGGAGGAAAAUUGACAGAGCAUUGCUUUAGAACAAUACAUAACGAGUAAUGACAUUAUGAUUAAAAAAAUAUAUAAAAAUAAAAAUUGACAUUAUUACCACCAGAAUUAUCCCAGAAAAAUCUAACAUUGUUCAGUAUGUGUUUCUGCAUGUGUAUGUGUGUGUAACGUGCUACAUGCAUGUGUGUACAUCUGUAUGUACACGUUAUUGCAUGCCUGUGUGUGUGUGUGUGUGUGUGUGUGUGUGUGUGUGUGUGUGUAAGCAUGAAUCCGUCAAAAUUCGAGGGCACAGCAGGAUGAGGAAACUGUUUUUACAAGAUACAGACGCAGUAGAGAGGAGGGGAUAGAAACAUUUUACAUCAGGAAUGUUCCCAAAUGGCAACCUAUUCUCUAAAUACUGUAGGCCCCUACUUUUAACCAGGGCCCUUAGGGCAGUAGUGCACUUUUAACCAGGGCCCUUAGGGCAGUAGUGCACUUGAUAGGGAACAGGGUGCCAUUUCAGAUGCGCUCAACAGUUCUCUAGCUCUCUCCAUGGACAGACAACAAUACAUAAGAAGCAGCCGAGAGUUGGGAGGAUGGUGAGGGUAGAGGGGUGUCCUUAAUGUUUUCUAUGCAGUCUGAUUGAUGGUAGGAUGAUGGUGAGGGUAGAGGGGUGUCCUUAAUGUUUUCUAUCCAGUCUGAUUGAUGGUAGGAUGAUGGUGAGGGUAGAGGGGUGUCCUUAAUGUUUUCUAUCCAGUCUGAUGGUAGAAUGAUGGUGAGGGUAGAGGGGUGUCCUUAAUGUUUUCUAUCCAGUCUGAUGGUAGGAUGAUGGUGAGGGUAGAGGGGUGUCCUUAAUGUUUUCUAUCCAGUCUGAUUGAUGGUAGGAUGAUGGUGAGGGUAGAGGGGUGUCCUUAAUGUUUUCUAUCCAGUCUGAUUGAUGGUAGGAGGAUGGUGAGGGUAGAGGGGUGUCCUUAAUGUUUUCUAUCCAGUCUGAUGGUAGAAUGAUGGUGAGGGUAGAGGGGUGUCCUUAAUGUUUUCUAUCCAGUCUGAUGGUAGGAUGAUGGUGAGGGUAGAGGGGUGUCCUUAAUGUUUUCUAUCCAGUCUGAUGGUAGGAUGAUGGUGAGGGUAGAGGGGUGUCCUUAAUGUUUUCUAUCCAGUCUGAUGGUAGAAUGAUGGUGAGGGUAGAGGGGUGUCCUUAAUGUUUUCUAUCCGGUCUGAUUGAUGGUAGGAUGAUGGUGAGGGUAGAGGAGUGUCCUUAAUGUUUUCUAUCCAGUCUGAUUGAUGGUAGGAUGAUGGUGAGGGUAGAGGGGUGUCCUUAAUGUUUUCUAUCCAGUCUGAUUGAUGGUAGGAUGAUGGUGAGGGUAGAGGGGUGUCCUUAAUGUUUUCUAUGCAGUCUGAUUGAUGGUAGGAUGAUGGUGAGGGUAGAGGGGUGUCCUUAAUGUUUUCUAUCCAGUCUGAUUGAUGGUAGGAGGAUGGUGAGGGUAGAGGGGUGUCCUUAAUGUUUUCUAUCCAGUCUGAUGGUAGAAUGAUGGUGAGGGUAGAGGGGUGUCCUUAAUGUUUUCUAUCCAGUCUGAUGGUAGGAUGAUGGUGAGGGUAGAGGGGUGUCCUUAAUGUUUUCUAUCCAGUCUGAUGGUAGAAUGAUGGUGAGGGUAGAGGGGUGUCCUUAAUGUUUUCUAUCCAGUCUGAUGGUAGAAUGAUGGUGAGGGUAGAGGGGUGUCCUUAAUGUUUUCUAUCCAGUCUGAUUGAUGGUAGGAUGAUGGUGAGGGUAGAGGGGUGUCCUUAAUGUUUUCUAUCCAGUCUGAUUGAUGGUAGGAUGAUGGUGAGGGUAGAGGGGUGUCCUUAAUGUUUUCUAUGCAGUCUGAU